UACAGAGGCCUCGAGCGUUAGGCGGAAUCACUGGGCUUAAAGCGUGUGUAGGCGGAUUGGUAAGUACCUUGUGAAAUCCCACGGCUUAACCGUGGAACUGCUCGGUAUACUGCUGAUCUUGAGCCACUCAGGGGCUACCGGAACAAAUGGUGGAGCGGUGAAAUGCGUAGAUAUCAUUUGGAACGCCAAUGGUGAAAACAGGUAGCUGGGGGUGUGCUGACGCUGAGACACGAAAGCCAGGGGAGCGAACGGG
rnacentral:rRNA from 1 species